rnacentral:rRNA from 1 species
UGGUCUGUCACGUCUGCUGUGGAAACGCAAGGCUCAACCUUGCGCGUGCAGUGGGUACGGGCGGACUAGAGUGCAGUAGGGGAGUCUGGAAUUCCUGGUGUAGCGGUGAAAUGCGCAGAUAUCAGGAGGAACACCGGUGGCGAAGGCGGGACUCUGGGCUGUAACUGACGCUGAGGAGCGAAAGCAUGGGGAGCGAACAGGAUUAGAUACCCUGGUAGUCCAUGCCGUAAACGUUGGGCACUAGGUGUGGGGUCCAUUCCACGGAUUCCGCGCCGUAGCUAACGCAUUAAGUGCCCCGCCUGGGGAGUACGGCCGCAAGGCUAAAACUCAAAGGAAUUGACGGGGGCCCGCACAAGCGGCGGAGCAUGCGGAUUAAUUCGAUGCAACGCGAAGAACCUUACCAAGGCUUGACAUACACCGGAAUGUGCCAGAGAUGGUUCAGCCCUUUGGGCUGGUGUACAGGUGGUGCAUGGUUGUCGUCAGCUCGUGUCGUGAGAUGUUGGGUUAAGUCCCGCAACGAGCGCAACCCUCGUUCUAUGUUGCCAGCACGUGAUGGUGGGAACUCAUAGGAGACUGCCGGGGUCAACUCGGAGGAAGGUGGGGAUGACGUCAAAUCAUCAUGCCCUUUAUGUCUUGGGCUUCACGCAUGCUACAAUGGUCGGUACAGAGGGUUGCGAAGCCGUGAGGCGGAGCGAAUCCCAGAAAGCCGGUCUCAGUUCGGAUCGUAGUCUGCAACUCGACUACGUGAAGUCGGAGUCGCUAGUAAUCGCAG